rnacentral:rRNA from 1 species
UGGGGAAUAUUGCACAAUGGGCGCAAGCCUGAUGCAGCCAUGCCGCGUGUGUGAAGAAGGCCUUCGGGUUGUAAAGCACUUUCAGCGGGGAGGAAGGCGAUAAGGUUAAUAACCUUGUCGAUUGACGUUACCCGCAGAAGAAGCACCGGCUAACUCCGUGCCAGCAGCCGCGGUAAUACGGAGGGUGCAAGCGUUAAUCGGAAUUACUGGGCGUAAAGCGCACGCAGGCGGUCUGUCAAGUCGGAUGUGAAAUCCCCGGGCUCAACCUGGGAACUGCAUUGGAAAAUGGCAGGCUAGAGUAUUGUAGAGGGGGGUAGAAUUCCAGGUGUAGCGGUGAAAUGCGUAGAGAUCUGGAGGAAUACCGGUGGCGAAGGCGGCCCCCUGGACAAAGACUGACGCUCAGGUGCGAAAGCGUGGGGAGCAAACAGG